rnacentral:lncRNA from 1 species
UUUGCCUCUUCAUAAAAACUGAAGUCCAACAUGUUUUUUAAGCACCAUUUUAAACGUUCUGAAUACUACAAAUUAUCCGUAUCAGCAUAGCAGUCAUUGGAUAGUCCUCCUAGUGUUAGCUGUUAUAUAUUUUCGUGGCUUACGUUGUAUGAACGAACAGAUCUGCCUAUUUAUAAACAUACAGGUUUUGAUAGAAUAAUUAACUUGUCAUUGUGUUAUACAUAGUGAUAAUGAUUCUGGGUAAAAUGAUAUUUGAUAGAUAUGAGAGGAGGUGGUGUGAGUGCCAGUGAGACAACUCUCCGUCCAAGUAACAAAUAAUAAAAGUAAACCAUUAUAGGUCAAGGUACGGCCUUCCGCACGGAGCCUUUGCUCACACCGAACAGCACGCUAUAAGAGCCCAAAAAUUCCUAGUGUAAAACUAUUCAAACGGGAAAUCCAACGGUUUAAUCUAUAAAAAACGAGAAACGAGAAACACUUAUGAACCACUUUAAAAGAUGACAACCACUGAACAUAGGAUUUCUGACUUAGGACAGGUGCAAACA